rnacentral:rRNA from 1 species
GCAACUCGCCUACAUGAAGUCGGAAUUGCUAGUAAUCGCGGAUCAGCAUGCCGCGGUGAAUACGUUCCCGGGCCUUGUACACACCGCCCGUCACACCAUGAGAGCCGGUAACACCCGAAGUCAGUAGCCUAACCGCAAGGGGGGCGCUGCCAAAGGUGGGAUUGGUAAUUGGGGUGAAGUCGUAACAAGGUAAC